AGACAACAGGGACCCUUGCCUGGUGGGGCUCACGGUCUAGAGAACGAGAGAGAACAGGUCCUUUAACAAUUGCAGGGACCAUACCACUGUUUGCACCGCCAAUCGGCCGCAGUUAGGCUUCUAUUUGUCAAAUGAAAUGACCUUAGGAGUUCAGUGUUCUCUCCAUUUCACCUAGGAGGACUCCGAGACUCAAGACGUUGUGAAUUAUCCAGGAUCACACCGCUGGUAUGAUUGGCAGGGUACUGCUGGGGACUUCACUGGACUGCUAUAAAUAUAAGGUCUGCGCCAGUGUUUUUUUGGAAAUCUGAAACAUUCUGAAUUACAGAGCACCCAAGAAUUUCAGAAGAGAAGAUUAGGACACAGACAUACACAGAGGAAAGACUAUGUGCAGACACAGGGAGAAGACAGCCAUCUACAAGCCAAGGAAAGAAGCCUCAGAAGAAACCAACCCUGCUGUUCCCUUGAUCUCCUACUGUUGGCCUUCAGAUCUGUGAGAAAAUAGAUUUCUUUUGUUUAAACCACCCAGUCUGGGGUACUUUGUUAUGGCAACAUUAGCAAACUAAUUUUCUCUUUCUUGUCUCUCUCUCUCUCUCUUUCUCUCUCUCUCUCUCUCUCACACACACACACACACACACACACACACACACACACACACACACAGUGCUUGGGAGAAUCUCUCCCUGCUUGCGAGAAUCUGUUCCCAGUUCACCAAACCCUGUGUUGAAAGAUUAUACCAGGGCUCUAUUUUCACUUUUGGUAUCUAAGAAUAGCUCUCUAGACAUUUCACUUCUUUAAAAAACUCAUUUUGUGGAAAGAAUAAGUUGCAAUAAUUUUUAUUUUAUUUUGUAUCUUGGCUCAGGCAGAACCAGGAGGUGUUUGACUUUUUAUGUAUUCUUAUUACCUGUUCUUAUUAUAGCUAUGCCUAAAAGUGUUUAAAUUAUACUAAAUAUAUUCUCUGCAUUCUCUCCAAUGCCACUCAGAGUUUCACUCCAAGGGCUUUCUGGAGGGGAGCAUGGUAGAAAGAAAGGGAGCUUUGUUGGCAGAGAGGAGUGGGUUCAAACCUUCAGUCUGCUGUUCACUUGUGGGAUGUUGUUGAGGCACUAACAUCUCUGAGCCUUUGCUUCCUCCUUUGUAAUUGUAAAAUGAUGUCCCUUUUAAAGGAUGGGUGUGAGGGUUACAUGAGAAUAAAGCUGUAAUUUGCUUCCUGGCACAUAAUGGACACCAAAUAAAUGCCGUUUUCCAAUUUUUCUCUUCCUUUUCCCAACCAUAGUUAGCCAAAAAACCCCAAUUCUGGACCAGAGAAAAGUCCAGUUAAUUGAAUAUAGGUUUAAAUUUGUGUAAAUUAGAAACAUUACUUACUGCCCUCCGAAAUAAAUAUCAUCAGCAGAAAUUCAAAGAAGUCCUGCUUCCAAACUCAGGAAGCACAUCACUAAGCUGUUCCAUUAACAGCUUUCUUUUUUUUUUUUUUUUUUUAAGAUUUUAUUUAUUUAUUUGUGAGAGAGAAUGACAGACAGAGAGCACGAGAGGGAGGAGGGUCAGAGGGAGAAGCAGACUCCCCGCUGAGCAGGGAGCCCGAUGCGGGACUCGAUCUGGGGACUCCAGGAUCAUGACCCGAGCUGAAGGCAGUCGCUUAACUGACUGAGCCACCCAGGCGCCCCCAUUAACAGCUUUCUGAGUAUGGUCUUUCCUGCAGGAACAGAGGCUGUUUCAAAAUUCUAUACGCAUUAUAUUUAUUCAGUACCUGGCAAGCUGGCGUCCCACCUCGUGGUCAGUGGGAGACAGCCCAUUUCAAAAAGAGAUGAGAAGACAAUUUACAUUAUCUUCUGCUGGGCAGAAGCCUGAAGGACCGUUAUUUGUUCAUCCUUUUCUCCCCAUUUGCAGCGACCCAGGUCAUGUAAAGCACAAGACGUGGACAUGGCAGGGGGUGCAGUACACAUGCACGUGCUGUGGCAGUGGUGGGAUUGAGAAGAGAAGUUCUGCUUGGGAGAGGGUCAUCAGAUUAGAGGCAUAUUGGUGAAUGGUUUUCCUAAAAUAUGAAGUAUUUCAAAUAUACAAAAAAGUUCAUAAAAAAUCAGUGCAUUUUCUGGCCAGCUCUAUUGAGUGUUAACAUUUUGUCACAUUUGCAUCCUGUUUCUUUAGGAAGCAAAACAAUACAAAUGCUGGCACAGAGCCCAGUAUAUCCUUCUAGGAUCCCUUUCUCUUGCCAGGCCCCCACCCAGAGGUAACCACCAUCUCAAAUUUGAUGUUUGUCUUUAAUGGCAUUUAAAAAUUCUACUAACAUCCCAUGUGUGAAUCCGUGUUUUUGCAUGUUUUCAAAAUAUACUGAUGUCAUACUGGAUCUAUUUUUUUUCUAUUUUAAACAAGUAAUGCGAUAACUUUCUUGUGCCAUUUUCCCUAUGGAACUUCUGCAAGAGUUUUUCUAUUACUUUCCUAGAAGUAGAUCGAAGAGCAAGUAUUUUCUUUCCAGAGAGAUUGUACCAAAUUACCUUUCAGUUUGUACCAAAUUACUCUCCACCAAAUUACCCAGUGGUGUAAGUGGUGUAAGUGGCCCCGCUUGUACAUCUACAUUGCAGAAAUUGUUAGGCUUUGAAAUAUUUUCAAAAGUGAUAGUUACGAACUAUUUCACAGUAUUUUAAUGUAUUUCCCUAAUUAGUAUUUAUAUUGAGUGUCUUUUUAUAUGUUUUUUGGCCCUGUAUUUUGCUCUCUUGUGAAUGGGCUGUUCAUAUCUUUUGCCUUUUAUAUUCCUAUUGGAUUUUUUCUUAUUGAUUCUCAGGAGUUCCUUAUUUAUUCCAGAUAUGAAUCCCUUUUUUCCAUUACAUGUUUGCAAGUAUCUUCUCCCGGCCUGUGACUUACAGAUUUUUAGGAAAAAUUUUAAGUUGAAUUAUUUAAUAGGUACAUAAAAUGCACAGAUCAUAAAUAUAGAGCCCAGUGACUUUUUACAAGGUGAAAACACUUAUGUAAUAACCACCUAGAUAAGGAAUUAGAAUAUAACUAGCUCCCAAUUCAGGACCUUUCCAAGAUCUGUCACAGUCCAGAGGUAACUACUAUGUAGACUUCUGAGUAAUUUUGUCCUGUUUUGAACUUUAAAUAAAUGAAAUCUUAUA